GAUGAACGCUAGCUACAGGCUUAACACAUGCAAGUCGAGGGGAAACGGCAUCGAAAGCUUGCUUUUGAUGGGCGUCGACCGGCGCACGGGUGAGUAACGCGUAUCCAACCUGCCCAUCACUUGGGAAUAACCUUGCGAAAGUAAGACUAAUGCCCAAUGACAUCCCACGAAGGCAUCCGAAUGGGAUUAAAGAUUUAUCGGUGAUGGAUGGGGAUGCGUCUGAUUAGCAUGUUGGCGGGGUGACGGCCCACCAAGGCAACGAUCAGUAGGGGUUCUGAGAGGAAGGUCCCCCACAUUGGAACUGAGACACGGUCCAAACUCCUACGGGAGGCAGCAGUGAGGAAUAUUGGUCAAUGGGCGAGAGCCUGAACCAGCCAAGUAGCGUGCAGGAUGACGGCCCUAUGGGUUGUAAACUGCUUUUAUAAGGGAAUAAAGUGGGUCACGUGUGACUUUUUGCAUGUACCUUAUGAAUAAGGACCGGCUAAUUCCGUG
rnacentral:rRNA from 1 species